rnacentral:rRNA from 1 species
GACGAACGCUGGCGGCGUGCUUAACACAUGCAAGUCGAGCGGAGAAUAUAGCAAUAUAUUCUUAGCGGCGGACGGGUGAGUAACGCGUGGGCAACUUGCCUCACACAGGGGGAUAACACUGGGAAACUAGUGCUAAUACCGCAUAAAAUAGUGAAGUGGCAUCACUUUACUAUCAAAGGAGCAAUCCGGUGUGAAAUGGGCCCGCGUCCGAUUAGCUAGUUGGUGGGGUAAUGGCCCACCAAGGCGACGAUCGGUAGCCGAACUGAGAGGUUGGUCGGCCACAUUGGGACUGAGACACGGCCCAGACUCCUACGGGAGGCAGCAGUGGGGAAUAUUGCGCAAUGGGGGAAACCUUGACGCAGCAACGCCGCGUGAAGGAUGAAGGUUUUCGGAUUGUAAACUUCUUUGAUUGGGGACGAUAAUGACGGUACCCAAAAAACAAGCCACGGCUAACUACGUGCCAGCCGCCGCGGUAAUAC